rnacentral:lncRNA from 1 species
GCGGGUCCAGGGGCGGGCGCGCGGGAGGCGGUGUCUUCCGGGAGCCUGCGCUGAGGGGCGGAGCGGCUGCCGCGCGGCAGUCAGAGAGCUGUGCGAGGUCCUGGUUACAGCUGAGGUUUUUCUUGCCUUCAGAUUGGCUCUAAGGGAUCCAGCCCCUGGCAGAAAGUGUCUUUGGCCAGCUACCCAGUCAGACCAACCAGGUCAGUUUAUUUUGAAGAGAUAGUGGGGAUACAUAUCAAGAUAUGAUGAGGCUUAUAUCUACAUAGGUAUGCUACUGGUGACAACUUUCUCUUACAUUAUUAAAUGCCUAAUAUGUAUAAGAUACCGUGAAGGGUAUACAGUAGUAUACAAAUGAUAUUUCUGAAAACGAUAUGCAAUUUAAUUGAGAAAUAGGGU